CAGCUUAAACAAUGAAUUUUUUCAAACAUAGAAGUUCAUGAAGUUAGAAACUCAAACAUAAAGCACUUUCAAAAAAAAAAAGACAAUACAUAUCAGCAGUAACUGGACAGUCUUUUAAUCAAGUAAUGCAUUUCUCAACUGUGCAACAUUUUGGCUACAACUUCAAACAACAACUCAACUUCAGUUUAAUGUCCUAGAUUCAAAACGAUUACAAUUAAAUAUUCAAUGAAUCAAACUCAGGAUCGAAUAGAACUAGCUCAAACAAAAAUGCGAACCGAAUCACGAACGGGCCUUAACAGUGGCUGAAAAUCAAAACUCAACAGCCUCUCAAUCAAUCCCCAUGAACGAAACCGCUCUCCGAAUUUUCCCUCUCUUUCUCGCUAUCUAUGUGUCUGUGCGACGGCGGAAUUGGGUGGUCGUUGGUUGCUAUUAGUGUUCGCCGACGAUUUGAAAGGUGAAGAAGGUGAGGUCACGGCUGAUAUUAGAGAUGAAUCAUGGUGGGGGGUCUUCAAGGUUUUAUGUUGUGUGUGUAGGUUUAGCUAUGGUAUUUGAGAUUAGGAAGAAGAAGAAGCUUGGGUGGUCGUCUUUUUGUGUUGAAGAUGAGAACUGCUUUUUGUUCUCUGCUUGUGCGCUGCUCUCUUAGGUCUAUUAGGUUAUAUUUUUUUGUCUUGUGUUCAAGAAGAAGAUGAUAGGGUUAUGGCGUGAGUAUUGGACUUGAGUUGUU
rnacentral:lncRNA from 1 species